rnacentral:ncRNA from 19 species
UACUUAUCGAGAGCGACCGAGGGAUUAGGCCCAACGACGUCCGGCAACCACCUUUAAGGAACGGUGCCACAUCCUACAGAAUGUUUCAUUCUGAGAGAUAAGUU